CCAGACUCCUACGGGAGGCAGCAGUGGGGAAUAUUGCACAAUGGGGGAAACCCUGAUGCAGCGACGCCGCGUGAGUGAAGAAGUAAUUCGUUAUGUAAAGCUCUAUCAGCAGGGAAGAAAAUGACGGUACCUGAGUAAGAAGCCCCGGCUAACUACGUGCCAGCAGCCGCGGUAAUACGUAGGGGGCAAGCGUUAUCCGGAUUUACUGGGUGUAAAGGGGGCGCAGACGGCGAUGCAAGCCAGGAGUGAAAGCCCGGGGCCCAACCCCGGGACUGCUCUGGAAACUGCGGCGCUGGAGUACGGGAGGGGCAGGCGGAAUUCCUGGUGUAGCGGUGAAAUGCGUAGAUAUCAGGAGGAACACCAGUGGCGAAGGCGGCUUACUGGACGAUGACUGACGCUGAGGCUCGAAAGCGUGGGGAGCAAACAGGAUUAGAUACCCCGGUAC
rnacentral:rRNA from 1 species